AAACCUGCGAAACUCGAAUGAACGAACGGAGAGAUUCAUCGACAACCGAACGGCGUACGGGCGCGCGCCUCGAUGUCGCGCCGGCGCUCCUCGCGGGCGCCGUAGCGGGGCACGGGUCGCGUCCGGUUCUCACGUCCGUCGGCGUCGUGCACUUCUCUCUCAGUAAUGCAUCGCGACCCGUUCUCGGUCGGCUUAAGCGCCGUCCGAUUCGACCAACGGUGCGUCGUUCGCGCGUCCACCGUUGGAGCGUGACGGUCGCCGGCCGGCCGGGGACGGUAUCAGUACGAAUCGCGCACGCGCUUCAGCGCGCGUCCGGCCCGACGCAAGCUCGCGCCGUACUAUGUCUGUGUCCUGCCCGAGUGCGGACAUGGACGCGGCGUAGCUGACGUCGCAGCCGUGCAGUCUCGGACCGUGCGCGUAUCAGUCUGCGAUGAGUC
rnacentral:rRNA from 1 species